CAGUAGCCGCGGUAAUACGAGGGGAGCUAGCGUUGUUCGGAAUUACUGGGCGUAAAGCGCGCGUAGGCGGCUUUUUAAGUCAGAGGUGAAAGCCCGGGGCUCAACCCCGGAAUUGCCUUUGAAACUGGAAAGCUAGAAUCUUGGAGAGGUCAGUGGAAUUCCGAGUGUAGAGGUGAAAUUCGUAGAUAUUCGGAAGAACACCAGUGGCGAAGGCGACUGACUGGACAAGUAUUGACGCUGAGGUGCGAAAGCGUGGGGAGCAAACAGGAUUAGAUACCCCAGUAGUCCCUGUCUCUUAUAA
rnacentral:rRNA from 1 species